rnacentral:rRNA from 1 species
AGACUCCUACGGGGCGCAGCAGUGAGGAAUAUUGGUCAAUGGUCGGGAGACUGAACCAGCCAAGCCGCGUGAGGGAUGAAGGUACAGAGUAUCGUAAACCUCUUUUGUCAGGGAACAAAGGCGGGGACGCGUCCCCGGAUGAGUGUACCUGAAGAAAAAGCAUCGGCUAACUCCGUGCCAGCAGCCGCGGGAAUACGGAGGAUGCGAGCGUUAUCCGGAUUUAUUGGGGUUAAAGGGUGCGCAGGCGGUCUGUUAAGUCAGCGGUCUAAGCCCGGGGCUCAACCCCGGCCC